rnacentral:rRNA from 1 species
GACGAACGCUGGCGGCGUGCUUAACACAUGCAAGUCGAACGGAAAGGCCCUGCUUUUGUGGGGUGCUCGAGUGGCGAACGGGUGAGUAACACGUGAGUAACCUGCCCUUGACUUUGGGAUAACUUCAGGAAACUGGGGCUAAUACCGGAUAUGAGCUCCUGCUGCAUGGUGGGGGUUGGAAAGUUUCGGCGGUUGGGGAUGGACUCGCGGCUUAUCAGCUUGUUGGUGGGGUAGUGGCUUACCAAGGCUUUGACGGGUAGCCGGCCUGAGAGGGUGACCGGCCACAUUGGGACUGAGAUACGGCCCAGACUCCUACGGGAGGCAGCAGUGGGGAAUAUUGCAAAAUGGGCGGAAGCCUGAUGCAGAAACGCCGCGUGCGGGAUGACGGCCUUCGGGUUGUAAACCGCUUUCGCCUGUGACGAAGCGUGAGUGACGGUAAUGGGUAAAGAAGCAACGGCUAACUACGUG